CCUACGGGUGGCACCAGUGGGGAAUAUUGCACAAUGGGCGCAAGCCUGAUGCAGCCAUGCCGCGUGUAUGAAGAAGGCCUUCGGGUUGUAAAGUACUUUCAGCGGGGAGGAAGGCGAUAAGGUUAAUAACCUUGUCGAUUGACGUUACCCGCAGAAGAAGCACCGGCUAACUCCGUGCCAGCAGCCGCGGUAAUACGGAGGGUGCAAGCGUUAAUCGGAAUUACCGGGCGUAAAGCGCACGCAGGCGGUCUGUCAAGUCGGAUGUGAAAUCCCCGGGCUCAACCUGGGAAUGGCAUCUAAGACUGGUCAGCUAGAGUCUUGUAGAGGGGGGUAGAAUUCCAUGUGUAGCGGUGAAAUGCGUAGAGAUGUGGAGGAAUACCGGUGGCGAAGGCGGCCCCCUGGACAAAGACUGACGCUCAGGUGCGAAAGCGUGGGGAGCAAACAGGAUUAGAUACCCCAGUAGUC
rnacentral:rRNA from 1 species